AUUGAACGCUGGCGGCAGGCUUAACACAUGCAAGUCGAGCGAGCGGCGGACGGGUGAGUAGUUGCUGGGAAACUGCCUGAUGGAGGGGUAUAACUACUGGAAACGGUAGCUAAUACCGCAUAACAUCAGAUGUGCCCAGAGGGGAUGAGCUAGUGGGUGGGGUAAUGGCUCACCUAGGCGACGAUCCCUAGCUGGUCUGAGAGGAUGACCAGCCACACUGGAACUGAGACACGGUCCAGACUCCUACGGGAGGCAGCAGUGGGGAAUAUUCGGCAAUGGACGCAAGCCUGAUACAGCCAUGCCGCGUGUGUGAAGAAGGCCUUCGGAUUGUAAAGCACUUUCGGCGAAGAAGCGUUACCCACAGAAGAAGCAACGGCUAACUCCGUGCCAGCAGCCGCGGUAAUAC
rnacentral:rRNA from 1 species